GAUUAACGCUGGCGGCGUGCAUAACACAUGCAAGUCGAACGAUGAAACUUAACUGAUUUCUUCGGAAUGAUUUUAAGUGGAUUAGUGGCGGCCGGGUGAGUAACGCGUGAGUAACCUGCCUUGGAGAAGGGGAUAGCCUUUGGAAACGAAGAAUAAUACCCUAUGAUAUGAUAAUAUCUCAUGAUAUUAUCAUCAAAGAUUUAUCGCUCUAAGAUGGACUUGCGUCUGAUUAGUUAGUUGGGGAGGUAACAGCUCACCAAGGCAGCGAUCAGUAGCCGGCGUGAGAGAGUGUCCGGCCACAUUGGGACUGGGACACGGCCCAGACUCCUCCGGGAGGCCGCAGUGGGGAAUUUUGCACACUGGGGGAAACCCUGAUGCAGCGACGCCGCGUGAUUUAGAAGGCCUUCGGGUUGUAAAAUUCUUUUGUAUGGGAAGAAAAUGACAGUACCAUACGAAUAAGGACCGGCUAAUUACGUG
rnacentral:rRNA from 1 species